GACGAACGCUGGCGGCGUGCUUAACACAUGCAAGUAGAACGCAGUCGCGAACGGGUGAGUAACGCGUAGGUAACUGCCUGGUGGCGGGGAGUAACUAUCGGAUACGAUAGCUAAUACCGCAUACUACCAGAUGGACCUGCGUUGUAUUAGCUUGUUGGUGGGGUAACGGCACACCAAGGCAACGAUACAUAGCCGGCCUGAGAGGGGGAUCGGCCACAAUGGGACUGAGACACGGCCCAGACUCCUACGGGAGGCAGCAGUAGGGAAUCUUCGGCAAUGGAGGGAACCCUGACCGAGCAACGCCGCGUGAGUGAAGAAGGUCUUCGGAUCGUAAAGCUCUGUUGUUAAGGAAGCGGUACUUAACCAGAAAGGGACGGCUAACUACGUGCCAGCAGCCGCGGUAAUAC
rnacentral:rRNA from 1 species